GUGAAGGCUGAACCACAAGGCUUAGGAGACAAACUUGUCGAUUUUUAUAACACUGGGGCCAUGUGUGAAUGUGUGUGUGUUAGUUUUCUUGUCUCUAGGACACAACAUUCAGCACAACUUGAAGGAGCAGAGGCUGAGUCUGGCUCGUGGUUUUGGGUGAUUCAGUCCACGGUUGGCUGGCUCCAAGGCAGAAAGAGCAUGGCAGGAGCACACAGUGGAAAAAACUGGGACUGCGAUUCCCCACCAUUGGAAAAAUAGAUGAAAAAUGAGACCGGGUGCCUGCAGGCUGCCACCCUGGGGAAGCCAUGCGGAGGAUGACCCUGUGGAUCCGUGCAGUGCCGGCCAGCCCGGCUCCGGUCAGUGGGGAGGGGCAAGGACCCACAGUGGGGAUCCCUCUCUGGGCCCACUCCUGGGGAGCUCCUGGAUGUCCCAGUGAACAAGACCCACCUCCGCCUGCCGCUUGCCAGUCCCUGCCACAGCCUGCCAUGUGCUGACCCUCUACUUAGAGGGGGCUCGAGUCAGUCCAGGUGUCAUGAAGGUUUAAACGCCAGCGUGCUCUGGCUGGUUCUUCCCGGAAUUCCAGCCCCUCUGCAAGGGGGUGGCUCGGUGCCAUUUAUACCUGUGAGACAGUGCCACUUUCAAAACCACCUGGAUUCUGUCUUCACACUGGCUUUCUAGGAAGUGCAAAUUUUCAAAUUUUUCUAAGGAACCCUUCUUUUGGGGGCAGGAGACAGGGCCUCACUGUGUAUGUAGCCUGGGUUGAACUUGAGCUCUCGGUGAUCCUCCUGCCUCAGCCUCCUGAGUGCCAGGAUCACAGGCAUUUGCAACUGGACCCAGCCUAUCUCUCCCUUUUUUCAAAUAACUGGACUCAGCUGUGCCUGUCUCCCCCUUGUGGGGACCUCAGGAUCUUGUAAGGUCCGCGACACGUAAUUGCUCUGUUUGUGCUGGCGAGAGGGUGUUGUAAAUGGCCGAGUGGCAGACGUGACAGUUCCAUUAGACCCGAGCUCAUCCUGGUCGACCUUUGGAAAGUGAAUUCAGGGAGGUCAGCAUGUCUGCUACACUUCAUGUUUGCAGUUUGGGGCGAGGCUGGGCAAGAAAUACUGAGGUCUCUAUGCCAGGGCUGCUGCUACAGCUCCCCCGCUCUCACCUCCUCCCGCCGGGCAUCUCCCCAGCUCAAGACGGAAGGGAAGGCAGUGGCCCAGGAUCCGUGGGCUUGGGCCACUACGGCCUCAUCAGCUGCUCCAUCAAGGUGACAGUGUCAUUUCUAACAUCCACCUGCAGACCCUGGGCUGUUUCUAGGUCCUGAGUUAGCCAGCCUGCUCUGGGGGAAUCACAGGAAGUUUCCGGCCUGGUUCUCAGGCUCUUCACCAUUUCUAGAAUCCUGGGCUGCAGAAAUGGUGUCUGUUGAGAGCAAGUCUACAUCAUUUUGGGGAAAAAUCAUUUCACAAUUAAGUUGUGAUUAGGCCUAGUUCUCCCGCCCACAGCCCGGCUAUGGCAUGUCGAGACAUAAAGCCGUUUUUGCUUCCGGUCACAGCUAAGACCUCAAUGGUCCCAUGAUGCUGUGAAGCUCCAGGGAAGGAUUGCAUGGCUGAAGACGUC
rnacentral:lncRNA from 1 species